rnacentral:misc_RNA from 1 species
AGUGACAGAGUAUGAAAGGGAAUUUUUCAGCUUGAGCCACUAUGCUGGGAGCUUACUCACUACCAGUAGAGAAAGAUGUAAAUGUUUUAAGGCUAGAUUGAAGGUUAGUUUGAGAAUGCAAGUGGUCGAAUUCCGGCAUGAUAAUUUUUCUGAACUGAUAUCUCAAGCCCUAGAGUUAGAAAGGUUAGAAUCAGAAGGGGCACACGUGAAAGAGAAG